AGCGUACACGGUGGAUGCCCUGGCAGUCAGAGGCGAUGAAGGACGUGCUAAUCUGCGAUAAGCGUCGGUAAGGUGAUAUGAACCGUUAUAACCGGCGAUUUCCGAAUGGGGAAACCCAGUGUGAUUCGUCACACUAUCAUUAACUGAAUCCAUAGGUUAAUGAGGCGAACCGGGGGAACUGAAACAUCUAAGUACCCCGAGGAAAAGAAAUCAACCGAGAUUCCCCCAGUAGCGGCGAGCGAACGGGGAGCAGCCCAGAGCCUGAAUCAGUGUGUGUGUUAGUGGAAGCGUCUGGAAAGGCGCGCGAUACAGGGUGACAGCCCCGUACACAAAAAUGCACAUGCUGUGAGCUCGAUGAGUAGGGCGGGACACGUGGUAUCCUGUCUGAAUAUGGGGGGACCAUCCUCCAAGGCUAAAUACUCCUGACUGACCGAUAGUGAACCAGUACCGUGAGGGAAAGGCGAAAAGAACCCCGGCGAGGGGAGUGAAAAAGAACCUGAAACCGUGUACGUACAAGCAGUGGGAGCCUCUUUAUGGGGUGACUGCGUACCUUUUGUAUAAUGGGUCAGCGACUUAUAUUCUGUAGCAAGGUUAACCGAAUAGGGGAGCCGAAGGGAAACCGAGUCUUAACUGGGCGUUAAGUUGCAGGGUAUAGACCCGAAACCCGGUGAUCUAGCCAUGGGCAGGUUGAAGGUUGGGUAACACUAACUGGAGGACCGAACCGACUAAUGUUGAAAAAUUAGCGGAUGACUUGUGGCUGGGGGUGAAAGGCCAAUCAAACCGGGAGAUAGCUGGUUCUCCCCGAAAGCUAUUUAGGUAGCGCCUCGUGAAUUCAUCUCCGGGGGUAGAGCACUGUUUCGGCAAGGGGGUCAUCCCGACUUACCAACCCGAUGCAAACUGCGAAUACCGGAGAAUGUUAUCACGGGAGACACACGGCGGGUGCUAACGUCCGUCGUGAAGAGGGAAACAACCCAGACCGCCAGCUAAGGUCCCAAAGUCAUGGUUAAGUGGGAAACGAUGUGGGAAGGCCCAGACAGCCAGGAUGUUGGCUUAGAAGCAGCCAUCAUUUAAAGAAAGCGUAAUAGCUCACUGGUCGAGUCGGCCUGCGCGGAAGAUGUAACGGGGCUAAACCAUGCACCGAAGCUGCGGCAGCGACGCUUAUGCGUUGUUGGGUAGGGGAGCGUUCUGUAAGCCUGCGAAGGUGUACUGUGAGGUAUGCUGGAGGUAUCAGAAGUGCGAAUGCUGACAUAAGUAACGAUAAAGCGGGUGAAAAGCCCGCUCGCCGGAAGACCAAGGGUUCCUGUCCAACGUUAAUCGGGGCAGGGUGAGUCGACCCCUAAGGCGAGGCCGAAAGGCGUAGUCGAUGGGAAACAGGUUAAUAUUCCUGUACUUGGUGUUACUGCGAAGGGGGGACGGAGAAGGCUAUGUUGGCCGGGCGACGGUUGUCCCGGUUUAAGCGUGUAGGCUGGUUUUCCAGGCAAAUCCGGAAAAUCAAGGCUGAGGCGUGAUGACGAGGCACUACGGUGCUGAAGCAACAAAUGCCCUGCUUCCAGGAAAAGCCUCUAAGCAUCAGGUAACAUCAAAUCGUACCCCAAACCGACACAGGUGGUCAGGUAGAGAAUACCAAGGCGCUUGAGAGAACUCGGGUGAAGGAACUAGGCAAAAUGGUGCCGUAACUUCGGGAGAAGGCACGCUGAUACGUAGGUGAAGCGACUUGCUCGUGGAGCUGAAAUCAGUCGAAGAUACCAGCUGGCUGCAACUGUUUAUUAAAAACACAGCACUGUGCAAACACGAAAGUGGACGUAUACGGUGUGACGCCUGCCCGGUGCCGGAAGGUUAAUUGAUGGGGUUAGCGGUAACGCGAAGCUCUUGAUCGAAGCCCCGGUAAACGGCGGCCGUAACUAUAACGGUCCUAAGGUAGCGAAAUUCCUUGUCGGGUAAGUUCCGACCUGCACGAAUGGCGUAAUGAUGGCCAGGCUGUCUCCACCCGAGACUCAGUGAAAUUGAACUCGCUGUGAAGAUGCAGUGUACCCGCGGCAAGACGGAAAGACCCCGUGAACCUUUACUAUAGCUUGACACUGAACAUUGAGCCUUGAUGUGUAGGAUAGGUGGGAGGCUUUGAAGUGUGGACGCCAGUCUGCAUGGAGCCGACCUUGAAAUACCACCCUUUAAUGUUUGAUGUUCUAACGUUGGCCCCUAAUCGGGGUUGCGGACAGUGUCUGGUGGGUAGUUUGACUGGGGCGGUCUCCUCCUAAAGAGUAACGGAGGAGCACGAAGGUUGGCUAAUCCUGGUCGGACAUCAGGAGGUUAGUGCAAUGGCAUAAGCCAGCUUGACUGCGAGCGUGACGGCGCGAGCAGGUGCGAAAGCAGGUCAUAGUGAUCCGGUGGUUCUGAAUGGAAGGGCCAUCGCUCAACGGAUAAAAGGUACUCCGGGGAUAACAGGCUGAUACCGCCCAAGAGUUCAUAUCGACGGCGGUGUUUGGCACCUCGAUGUCGGCUCAUCACAUCCUGGGGCUGAAGUAGGUCCCAAGGGUAUGGCUGUUCGCCAUUUAAAGUGGUACGCGAGCUGGGUUUAGAACGUCGUGAGACAGUUCGGUCCCUAUCUGCCGUGGGCGCUGGAGAACUGAGGGGGGCUGCUCCUAGUACGAGAGGACCGGAGUGGACGCAUCACUGGUGUUCGGGUUGUCAUGCCAAUGGCACUGCCCGGUAGCUAAAUGCGGAAGAGAUAAGUGCUGAAAGCAUCUAAGCACGAAACUUGCCCCGAGAUGAGUUCU
rnacentral:rRNA from 1 species